rnacentral:rRNA from 3 species
UCCGUAGGUGAACCUG